rnacentral:ncRNA from 1 species
AGGGGGGUAGCCGAAAACCCUGUAGAGUAGGCA